AAAAAAAAUUGGCUCUGACUAAUGUUUUGUGCUCAUUAGUAAGUCUUGCUUUUCCAUGAGGAGAUUGUUAAUUUUGUUUUUUCCUCAUAGAUAAUGAUUCACUUUUACCAGUACAACUCUUGACUCUCAACUGAAGGUCUUGCUGGCCUGUCACAGACCUGAAGUUAAAUAAAUCCCAAAUGACUGGAGCCCUGCAGGCCCAUCCCAUAGAAAUGAUGGUGAGA
rnacentral:lncRNA from 12 species